rnacentral:rRNA from 1 species
UACAGAGGUCUCAAGCGUUGUUCGGAUUCAUUGGGCGUAAAGGGUGUGUAGGCGGUUUGGUAAGUCUGGUGUGAAAUCUCCCGCUCAACUGGGAGGGUGCGCCGGAAACUGCUGGACUUCGAGUGCGGGAGAGGAAAGUGGAAUUCCCGGUGUAGCAGUGAAAUGCGUAGAGAUCGGGAGGAACAUCCGUGGCGAAGGCAGCUUGCUGGGACGGUACUGACGCUGAGACGCGAAAGCGUGGGGAGCGAACAGG